rnacentral:rRNA from 1 species
CCUACGGGAGGCAGCAGUGGGGAAUAUUGGGCAAUGGGCGCAAGCCUGACCCAGCAACGCCGCGUGAAGGAAGAAGGCUUUCGGGUUGUAAACUUCUUUUCUCAGGGACGAAGAAAGUGACGGUACCUGAUGACUAAGCCACGGCUAACUACGUGCCAGCAGCCGCGGUAAGACGUAGGUGGCAAGCGUUAUCCGGAUUUAGUGGGUGUAAAGGGCGUGUGGGCGGGAGCGCAAGUCAGAUGUGAAAACUCAGGGCUCAACCCUGAGCCUGCAUUUGAUACUGUGUUUCUUGAGUGCUGGAGAGGCAAUCGGAAUUCAGUGUGUAGCGGUGAAAUGCGUAGAUAUACGGAGGAACACCAGUGGCGAAGGCGGAUUGCUGGACAGUAACUGACGCUGAGGCGCGAAAGCGUGGGGAGCAAACAGGAUUAGAUACCCGUGUAGUC